GGGGAAAUGGCUCAGUGGCAGAGCACAGGACUUGCAUGCCUGAGAUCCUGGGUUUGAUUUCUGGCACCUCA
rnacentral:tRNA from 1 species